rnacentral:rRNA from 1 species
AUACGUAGGGGGCGAGCGUUGUCCGGAAUGAUUGGGCGUAAAGGGCGCGUAGGCGGCGCGGUAAGUCUGGAGUGAAAGUCCUGCUUUCAAGGUGGGAAUUGCUUUGGAUACUGCCGCGCUUGAGUGCAGGAGAGGUUAUCGGAAUUCCCGGUGUAGCGGUGAAAUGCGUAGAGAUCGGGAGGAACACCAGUGGCGAAGGCGGGUAACUGGACUGCAACUGACGCUGAGGCGCGAAAGUGUGGGGAGCAAACAGGAUUAGAUACCCUGGUAGUCCACACUGUAAACGAUGAAUGCUAGGUGUAAGAGGUAUCGACCCCUUUUGUGCCGGAGUUAACACAAUAAGCAUUCCGCCUGGGGAGUACGGCCGCAAGGUUGAAACUUAAAGGAAUUGGCGGGG